rnacentral:lncRNA from 1 species
CGCAAAUGAGGUCAGGUUUAAGAAUAAUCUUUAUUUAGUUUGUAUUACAUAUAAUCUUACCAUCUCCUUGUGUUUUCUCCUAUUAUCCUAAUAUCAACUUUCGUUCAGUGGUGAACUGGUUACUUGGCGUGCUGAAUAUGAAUCCGACCUAUCAACCAUCCAUUAUCACCAAUAGCCAUCAUCAACAUCAUCAUUGUCAGUAUCAUCCGCC